UGCAUAUCAAAAAAGCGGAGGAAAAGAAACCAACAGGGAUUGCCUUAGUAGCGGCGAGUGAAGCGGCAAAAGCUCAAAUUUGAAAUCUGGCUCUUUCAGAGUCCGAGUUGUAAUUUGAAGAAGGUAUCUUUGGGUCUGGCUCUUGUCUAUGUUUCUUGGAACAGAACGUCACAGAGGGUGAGAAUCCCGUGCGAUGAGAUGAUCCAGGCCUAUGUAAAGUUCCUUCGAAGAGUCGAGUUGUUUGGGAAUGCAGCUCUAAGUGGGUGGUAAAUUCCAUCUAAAGCUAAAUAUUGGCGAGAGACCGAUAGCGAACAAGUACAGUGAUGGAAAGAUGAAAAGAACUUUGAAAAGAGAGUGAAAAAGUACGUGAAAUUGUUGAAAGGGAAGGGCUUGAGAUCAGACUUGGUAUUUUGUAUGUUACUUCUUCGGGGGUGGCCUCUACAGUUUAUCGGGCCAGCAUCAGUUUGGGCGGUAGGAGAAUUGCGUUGGAAUGUGGCACGGCUUCGGUUGUGUGUUAUAGCCUUCGUCGAUACUGCCAGCCUAGACUGAGGACUGCGGUUUAUACCUAGGAUGUUGGCAUAAUGAUCUUAAGUCGCCCGUCUUGAACCCACGGACCA
rnacentral:rRNA from 1 species